rnacentral:lncRNA from 1 species
GUUCUUAGUCUCAAUUCGCAAACGUAUAUUUUUCUUAUCGCUUAUUAAAUAAUCAAAAACGAUAAGAGGCAAAAUUUGUAGGAGCGGACAAGGCCUGUGAAAUUGGACGUACAGUCAUCGUUGGAUAUGUGCGAGAAGAUUUUGAAUAAAUUUGAAGAGAGAAAACAGAAUAGAAACAAAAA